UAGAAACAACGUAUGGUGGAAAUUAUGCGUUGUGGAGGACUGGAAACCUCGUUUUUAACCUAGGUAAAGGAAGAAAGAUAGGGCAGAAAGAGUGGCAUCAUGGGCGAGCUAACGCUAGGCGGGGAUCGUUGUCCCUCGCUAUUCAUCCACCAGUCCAAUUAGGGUUUUAACAGAGGAAUGGCCGCGGCCAUGGCGGCGGUGGCCGCUCCAUCCGCGGCGGUCGCCAGGGCGCUGGAGGGCGACGCGGCGGCAGUGGCGCGAUUUGCAUCGUCAGGUAUUUCGUGGGGGAAUGGGCUGCUCAAGCACAGAGCGGGGGAUUCUCCGCGUUCUUGGCGUGGGAAGAGGUCCGGGAGGAGUGCAUUCUCGGUGUGCUUGCUGCAUGGGCUCGGGGGAUUCUGGGAUUCCUCCGAUUCGGAUUUCUCGGCGAAGAAAACCUACAAUCCAGAGAAGGACAAAGCGUUUCUUCUUAGCAUGGUGGAGCAAAUCGAGCCUCUAGACGUGAGUAGCAUUAGCAAAGACGCGUCGGCUGAUAGCAUGGAUGCGAUGAAGAGGACCAUCUCUGGAAUGCUUGGGCUACUACCGUCGGACCAGUUCAAAGUCACGAUUGAAGCUUACAGAGAACCACUCGCAAAGCUCCUUGUGUCUUCGAUGAUGACUGGGUACACCCUCAGGAAUGCCGAGUACAGGCUCUGCUUGCAAAGAAGUCUACAACUCUCCGAGGAAGACCUUGCGAGCACGUCAGUUGCAAGUGACGUGAAAGAAAAAAAGUCACAAGACUUGGAAGACAGCCGUGCCUGUGAUGCUUCGGACGAGACCGUUGGAGAGGGGAGUUGCAGUGACUCUUCGGUCUCGGAAGAAGUGGAGGCUUUGAACCUGCCUGGGAAUCUGGGGUCCCUAUCACGAGAAGCGCAGGAUUACGUUAGCCAUAUACAGGCAAAAAUGCUAGCGAUGGAGAAGGAGCUCGAGGAUUGCAAACGAGCUAAAACUGCACUGGAGAUGGAGAAGCUUGUCGGGGAUGAAAAGAACGACCUCCUUGACUACUUGAGAUCUCUGGAACCAGACAAGGUUGCCGAGCUCUCGCACCCGGCCUCUAAAGAUGUGGAAGAGGUGAUCCAGAAAGUAAUCGACGGGCUGCUCAAUGGCCUGUGCAAGUCGAGACAAUCAAAGCCACCGCCGCAGCUCAACGGUGGCGGAUCCCCGCCGUCGAGUUCCAUUUCAAGCCCGUGGAACAAGAGCAGCAGCUCGGCCGAGAUGUUUGCGAACAACUUACCCCUGAAGUUCCAGUCGACGGCAACAGCAACCCGCGACUACCUCGCCCGACUCCUCUUCUGGUGCGUAUGUCGUGCUUGUUAACGUGUGAUUUUGCAAGGAGUUUUGUCGAGGCCACCGUGCAGCGUUUGAUACGAAACUGUGAAUACCCAAGGUGUAUGCUCAUGGGGCAUCACAUUCGCGGGCUGGAGUACCGGAUGGAACUGAGCCACGCGCUCGGUUUGACAGGAGCUAGUGUGGAGGAUUGAAAAAAGGAGAUCAAUCAGUCUGUGGCAAACCAGCGAAAACAAAUCAAAGCGAAGAUCAAAGUGAAAGCAAGAGCUCGAGGAAGAACAAGGCUGUAAAUUUAAGCGAAGGUGCUUGUUGUAGAUUACAAACAAAAAUAAUUUUUGCGUUCCUUCACGUU